AUAAUGGGUCAGCGACUUAUAUUCUGUAGCAAGGUUAACCGAAUAGGGGAGCCGAAGGGAAACCGAGUCUUAACUGGGCGUUAAGUUGCAGGGUAUAGACCCGAAACCCGGUGAUCUAGCCAUGGGCAGGUUGAAGGUUGGGUAACACUAACUGGAGGACCGAACCGACUAAUGUUGAAAAAUUAGCGGAUGACUUGUGGCUGGGGGUGAAAGGCCAAUCAAACCGGGAGAUAGCUGGUUCUCCCCGAAAGCUAUUUAGGUAGCGCCUCGUGAAUUCAUCUCCGGGGGUAGAGCACUGUUUCGGCAAGGGGGUCAUCCCGACUUACCAACCCGAUGCAAACUGCGAAUACCGGAGAAUGUUAUCACGGGAGACACACGGCGGGUGCUAACGUCCGUCGUGAAGAGGGAAACAACCCAGACCGCCAGCUAAGGUCCCAAAGUCAUGGUUAAGUGGGAAACGAUGUGGGAAGGCCCAGACAGCCAGGAUGUUGGCUUAGAAGCAGCCAUCAUUUAAAGAAAGCGUAAUAGCUCACUGGUCGAGUCGGCCUGCGCGGAAGAUGUAACGGGGCUAAACCAUGCACCGAAGCUGCGGCAGCGACGCUGAUGCGUUGUUGGGUAGGGGAGCGUUCUGUAAGCCUGCGAAGGUGUGCUGUGAGGCAUGCUGGAGGUAUCAGAAGUGCGAAUGCUGACAUAAGUAACGAUAAAGCGGGUGAAAAGCCCGCUCGCCGGAAGACCAAGGGUUCCUGUCCAACGUUAAUCGGGGCAGGGUGAGUCGACCCCUAAGGCGAGGCCGAAAGGCGUAGUCGAUGGGAAACAGGUUAAUAUUCCUGUACUUGGUGUUACUGCGAAGGGGGGACGGAGAAGGCUAUGUUGGCCGGGCGACGGUUGUCCCGGUUUAAGCGUGUAGGCUGGUUUUCCAGGCAAAUCCGGAAAAUCAAGGCUGAGGCGUGAUGACGAGGCACUGCGGUGCUGAAGCAACAAAUGCCCUGCUUCCAGGAAAAGCCUCUAAGCAUCAGGUAACAUCAAAUCGUACCCCAAACCGACACAGGUGGUCAGGUAGAGAAUACCAAGGCGCUUGAGAGAACUCGGGU
rnacentral:rRNA from 1 species